rnacentral:lncRNA from 1 species
CGUACGCUAAUUUGGUAAAAAGCCAAUUUGACAUUUACUCAGUACAUUAUUUUCAUUGAGGAAAUAUAUACGAGUCUGCUGUUAAUGAUAAUGCAGAGGAUUCUCCCAAGGUUGCUGUUGAUGCAUAUCCCACGGUAGUUAUUAGGGUUAAAUGUGAGAAAUAAAAGUAGCAAGUAAUUAAAGAGCAGCAGUAAAAUAACAAUAAGCUGGCUAUAUACAGGGUGUUACGGUACAGAGUCAAUGUGGAGGCUAUAUACAGGGGUACCGGUACUGAGUCAAUGUGGAGGCUAUAUACAGGUGGGUACCGGUACAGAGUCAAUGUGGAGGCUAUAUACAGGGGUACCGGUACAGAGU